AGAAUGAUGAUAAAUACUUAAUGUUCUUUUCUUAUUGCUUUGUACUGUUUGAUUUUUUACUACCACUUACUCUUAUCCAUUUUGAAUUGUUUUUGUCUGUAGCUGCGGGGAAAAAAUGAAGACUCCUUUAGUAUUUGGAUCAGAAUCCACCAAAGUAUUUAUUUCAAACAGGCGUAAAUGGAGGAAGCUAAUACCAGUGACUGACCUCCAGGAAAUUGAUCCCCCACUGACAGUGACUGCUAGCAAGCUCUGCCUCUCUGGAGGGAGGCAGAGUGGAAAUGCCCCGCAGCUCUGGCUCCUGGGCGGCUCACGGCAGGCACAGGUGAGGCCUGGGAUCUGGACGGCUGGCGAUGGUGUGGUGGAGGAGAGCCCUGGGUGCAGGCUUAUAUUCCAGCUGCAGGAUGGAAAUCAGGUGAUGACUGUUUGAAAACACUUCAAAACUUGUCAACCAGGGGUUGCUCGAGAAGCAUGACGUGGACAUGUGCAUUUGAGUAUCCUUUGCAUGGAGCAGCAGGCAGAGUGGGGGAUGGCAGGUUUCUAACUGGUCUUCACGUGAGGAAACCAGAGGAGGCCUCUGCCCCUGGAGCUGGACCGUUUGCUGGGGCCCUGGCUAGGCUAUCCGAGGGGGAUAGUAAAGGCCGCAGGGCCCUCUGAAGACAGCAGGGCCUUGCACAAGGAAGUCCAGCCGUUCAGUGGGUGCACAGACAGGAUGACGGCAGCUUACGGUGCCUGAGGAAUCACGUGCCAGGGACUCGUAAGAUUAACUGAGGAAGCCAGGGCAAUGGACAGCCUCUCCUCUCCUGGGAGAGCAGACAUUCUGAAUGACACUGAUAGGCCCCUUUCUGUCUGAGAGUGAGAGAGAUGAAGCCCAUACCGAGAGUCAGAGUGUUGGCCCCUUCCCCUCUUCCCAGUCCGUAGGAACACACAUCUGAAAUAUGUGGAAAUUUUCAGGGCGCCUGGCUGGUUCAGUGGGCAGGACAUGUGACCCGGGAUCUCGGGGUGGUGAGUUCAAGCCCCAUGUUGGACAUGGAGCCUACUUAAAAAAAAAGAAUAAUUUAAAAAUAUAAUAAUUCAUACAUACAUGCACAAGUGGAAACUUUGUCCUGCGGGCAGAGGAAUGUGGGAGUUAUAGUCAGACAGACCUGCAAAAGCUCUACCACUUGUCAACUGGUUAUUUCAUACCUCUGAGGCUCAGUUUCUCCCACUCUAUAAUGGGGAUGGGUACCCACUUCACAGAAUGGGGACAGAAUGGGAUAAAUGUGUGUACAAGGUGUGAGACAUCCGGGGCUGGUUUGCCAUAGCUGGUGGGGCUGGAAGGCAGGGGCAGUGAAAGUCCCCCACGCCAGGCUGACAUGGGAUGAUGUUACCUUUAGGGGUGACAGAGGUUUUUCCCUGGGCCGCAGUGUGACUUAGAUCCCUCAUAUGGCAGGGAAGGCCCCAAAGAAGGCCAGGUCUGAGACUCACCUGUCUGUGCAAUGGUUUAGUGAGUGGUGUGCCCAGCCGGGGUGAUCACUGCCUUGCUCGGGUUGGUUGCUCAGCAAGACAAAGCGGAUGACAGAAGCUUCUCCUCUUUGUGGCAGUACCAAAACUCUUUUUGAUCACAAAUGAUGUAAAUUGCAGGAUCCCCGGAGGCACAGACCCUUCAGGAAGGGUUUGCAUCUCCCUUAUCCCUUAUCAUACCAGACACACUGUCCAGGUAAGAGCCCCCUUGCUCCCGUCUUCAGCCCAAAUGCUGGCUUCUGCAGUUUUAUGAGCCAUCCUCACUCCAGGGUAGGAUCUCCUAUUUGGUGUGUGUGUGUGGGGGGGGGGGACAGCAGACAUGUGGCUCAGGACCCAGCCAAGUGACUGUGUCAGGGAAGGAAGCCUUGCUAACCGUCUUUAUUAUCUUCCUGGGAGCAGGACCUGAGCUCCCAAGGUGACACUCCAUUUCAGCACUCCUUACUGGACACUGAAGAAACUGUUUCUUCCCGUUCUUGAAACAAGAAAGGUAGGCAAGAAUAAUUUCUCAACAAAGUGUGGUUUUAAGCAGAGGAUUCAUGAACAUAUGUUCUCCUCCCUUGUUGCAGAUAGGCGACCUUUCUCUAGGAGGGGACUAAGAG
rnacentral:lncRNA from 1 species